AUCACCAAAUUAGGUUUGUGGUCUUUAAACCUGGUCAUAUUACGAGUAUAAAUCUAAAAAUUAUCAUUGAUUUUAGAAAAAAAGCAACAGUGUUCAUCCUGCCAGCCACAAUCAAAGGUCAGAAGACUGAGUGGUUGAUUUCCUGCCAAAAUUAAAUGUAUUGUGCCCGUGUUUUUAAUGUCCUUCACCAAGGCAUUUCUCUUUCUCUUAAAUGUUCAUGACAAGAUAAAACAAACAAUAACACAGGGAUAAAAAAGGGGUAAUCUUUGAGCAGAUGCAGUGCAAAGCCAGUUGCAUUGUGGCUGGUCAAGGUUUAGCUUUUAUCAUUGAAGCAAACAUACAGUCAGGUCCAUAAUUAUUUGGACAAUGAUACAGUUGUCAUCAUUUUGGCUCUGUACACCACCACAAUGGGUUUUAAAUGAAACAAUGAAUACCUGCUUAAAGUGCAGACUCUCAGCUUUCAUUUAAGGCUUUUUUUUUUUCAAAAAUGUAGUAUGAACCGUGUAGGAAUUACAACCAUUUCUUCACACAGUCCCCCGACUUUAAGGGCUCAUAAGUAUUUGGACAAACUAACAUAAUCAUCAAUUAAACAGUCAGUUUUAAUACUUGGUUGCAAAUCCUUUGCAGUCAAUGACUGCCUGAAGUGUUGGACACAUAGACAUCACCAGAUGCUGGGUUUCUUCCCUGGUGAUGCUCUGCCAGCCCUUUCCUGCAGCCGUCUGCACUUCCUGCUUGUGUUUUGGGUGUUUUGCCCUCAGUUUUGGCUUCAGCAAGAGAAACGCAUGCUCAAUUGGAUUCAGGUCAGAUGAUAUGACUUGGCCAUUGCAGAACAUUCCACUUCUUUGCCUUAAAAAUGUCUUUGGUUGCUUUUGCAGUAUGCUUCAGGUCAAUGUCCAUCUGCACUGUGAAGCAUCGUCCAGUGAGUUUUGAAGCAUUUAGUUGAAUCUGAGCAGAUAAUGGUGCCCCAAACACUUCAGCUUUCAUCCUGCUGCUCUUGUAAGCAAGACAAGACUUCACUAGAAUAAAUACAGAGGGUUUAUCACAAGAUGCAAACCAUUGGUUAGCCUUAGAAAUGGAAGGCCAGAUUAGAGUUUGUCAAAAACCGUCUAAAAAGCCUGUACAGUUGUGGAACAGCAUACUAUGGACAGAUAAAACAAAGAUCAACUACCAGAAUGAUGGGAAGACAAGAGAAGGAAGAAGGGAAGGAACUGCUCAUGAUCCAAAGCACACCACCUCAUCAGUGAAGCAUGGUGGAGGUACUGUUAUGUCAUGGCCAUGCAUGGCUGCCAGUGGAACUGGUUCUCUUGUAUUUAUUGAUGAUGUGACUGCUGACAAGAGCAGCAGGAUGAAAGCUGAAGUGUUUUCAUUGUUUCAUUUAAAACCCAUUGUGGUGGUGUACAGAGCCAAAAUGAUGACAACUGUAUCAUUGUCCAAAUAAUUAUGGACCUGACUGUACACUGAGUAAUACAUAAAUAGUUAUAAUUAAAUAAUUUAUUAAAACAGAUUCUAUGACAAAUUUGUUUAUUUUUAUUUGAUUUUACUUGUCUUUUAAUUAUUUUAUUUAAAUCAUUUAAAUUUUACGUUACGUUUUUUUCACAACAGUGAAGCAGUCACUACCCCCUCACCUGUCAACCAAUCACGUGCCUCCAAACGGCUCAUUAACGGCUAGUUAGCUAGCUAGCUCCGAAGCAAUAAAAAAGAUAAAAGCCUCUUUUUGCUGUUUACAAAGCAGUUUCUUUCUCCAAGGGACAUCCUCCGAGUCACAAAGCUGCCGAGGUAAUUGAAUUUAAAAGCCAGCCUCUGUCAUUAACACCAACUUUCACUUAAAUGCCAAAUAAAAGAGGCUAAAUAGCGGGCUAGCUAGAUAGCGUCUGUGGCCUUGUCAAGCCAGGUAAGGCAUUGUUUUGGCAGUAGCUAACAAGAGCUAGCUGGCAAAAUGUGGUAGUAGCUAAGUGAUGAAUCUAGACGUUGGGUAUUUUAAAACAGUAAUUUCUGUAAUUAACAUUAUAUGUAAAUACUCUACAACCCUGCUGACCUUACAAUGAAAAAAAGUGAAUUAUAAUGAGGCAAGUUUGUAUUAUUAUUCAAGCUAUUUCCCCAUUUAUUGGUUCCGCUAUGUAUUGGUUCAUUAGGCUAUCUGUUUAAUCAUGUCUCAUUUAUACUUUUAUUUGAUAACUUGUGGUAUCCAGCCUUGCAAAUAUGGUAGUUUCAGUUUUACCUAAUGAUCAUUUUAAGAUAACUAAGAUUUUUGCUGCCAGCCAGACACAAUGGAGUUUGCAUCUGUUUGUGGUGCUUGUAGCAAAAUUAAAUUUAACAAACCUCUGGCCUCUUUGGGCAGACUUUUGUUUACUGCAGGGGUGUCCAACUCAUUUUAACUUGGGGGCCACAUGCAGCAGUUUGACUCCAAGUGGGCCUGGCCAAUACACCAUUGCAUAAUAACCUAUAAAUAUCAACACAGCCAAGUUUUUCUCUUUCUUGUAGUGUAAAGAAGUACAGUGAUAUUCUGAAAACAUUCACAAAACAGAUGAUGACCAGCCAGAGAAAAAUAAGGUUAAUGUUAAAAAAAACAUAUCUCAGUUUUUCCUCCUUCGGUCAGUCUGCUAUUUUUCCAUAAAUCACCACACCAAACUUCAGUGGAAGCUAUUGAGGAAGAAGAUGAAGUCAUCACCUGCCUCACAAAUCAUUUACAAAUCUAAAGCUUUGACAGUGCCAUAGAAAUACGACUCCUCCAAUACUGUUUUAAGAUAGAAGUCUGAUACUGAUUUUUUUUUUUUUUUUUUUUUACUGAAGCUGCUAAAUGACAAUAUUUUUGCACAAAGUUCAAUAUUUUUAAAUAAAGCAUGAUGAGCAUGCAUUGGUUUUUUUUUCUUCAGAGAGCUGGAGUCUGGUCAGUGUGGAAAAGCCUCUGAAGUAGCAUUUUACAUGAGGUAGUUACUCCCUGUUGAACUUGCUCCUGAAACCUGGCACCUCAUAGAAAGAGCAUCAAAAUAAGGUGUCGAAAGUCAUCCUGUGAGCCAAGUGGACCCUUUGGCGAGCAGGUUCUGGCCCACGGGCUGUAUGUUUAACACCUGUGGUUUGCAACAGAGUCUGAAACUGUUUGACUACUUUUUCAAUGCUUUUAAGGUGAUACUUCUUAUUGUGUCAAACUAUCAGCGUCAUUUACAGGGAUGUGUUCUACAUACUAGGUGGCAGUGGUUUUGUUGUAACCACACUUUUUGUUGUUGCAUCUUUACAUUUUGCCUUGUGUAGCAAUCAGAAAUUUAUAACAUCAGUGAAUUAAAUGUUAUGUAUAUACUGAGACAACUCUAUCAUUUUUUUUUAUUCACAGCUACUCAGUUUUCCAACCCAUGGUUUUCACCAAAAAAGAGGCAAAGGUGAGGUGUGAAAUCUCUUGAAGUCUGACCCCAAAUAGUUAAUAGAAAUCAUAGAAAGUAACCAGUUUUACUUUUCUUUCUUAGAUGGGACUCUCCACAGACCAAAAGCUCAGAGAAAAGAGGAACUUUAAGAAAUCCAUCCCCCUCCACCAUCGUGGAGGAUCUACAAAUCCCUUAAAUUUACAUCAAGGACAUGAGGAGAGAGGAGACUUCAGGAGGAGCUUUUUCUUGCAUGCAAGAAACACAUCCUCGCUGGGAGUAGCCAAGACGUGAAGAAGAAAUGUCGGGGUUGGAGAAUGCUGUCGCUUGUCACUGGGCCCAGUAGAUUCAUGAUCGCACAGCCUGACACCCACAGCAGUGUCCCUAAUGAC